rnacentral:hammerhead_ribozyme from 1 species
AUCCAGCUGAGGAGUCUCAAAUAGGAUGAAAUGCACGUGCUGGGU